rnacentral:rRNA from 1 species
GGAUUAGGCAUGCAAGUCGAACGAGGAUAUGCCCUUCGGGGUGUAAGCCGAGUGGCGCAAGGGUGAGUAAUGCAUAGAUUACCUGCCUCUAGGAUAAGAACAACUUUGUGAAAACGGAGCUAAUACUUAAUAAUACAAAAGGGGAUAAUUUUCUUUUGUCAAAUGAAGGGUAGCAAUACCUUUCGCCUGGAGAGGGGUUUAUGUCCUAUCAGCUUGUUGGUGGGGUAAUGGCCUACCAAGGCAUAGACGGGUAGCCGGCCUUAGAGGGUGGUCGGCCACACUGGGACUGAAACACUGCCCAGACUUCUACGGAAGGCUGCAGUCGAGAAUCUUUCGCAAUGCCCGAAAGG